rnacentral:rRNA from 1 species
UGGGGAAUUUUGGACAAUGGGCGAAAGCCUGAUCCAGCAAUGCCGCGUGUGUGAAGAAGGCCUUCGGGUUGUAAAGCACUUUUGUCCGGAAAGAAAUCCUUGGCUCUAAUACAGUCGGGGGAUGACGGUACCGGAAGAAUAAGCACCGGCUAACUACGUGCCAGCAGCCGCGGUAAUACGUAGGGUGCAAGCGUUAAUCGGAAUUACUGGGCGUAAAGCGUGCGCAGGCGGUUUGCUAAGACCGAUGUGAAAUCCCCGGGCUCAACCUGGGAACUGCAUUGGUGACUGGCAGGCUAGAGUAUGGCAGAGAGGGGUAGAAUUCCACGUGUAGCAGUGAAAUGCGUAGAGAUGUGGAGGAAUACCGAUGGCGAAGGCAGCCCCCUGGGCCAAUACUGACGCUCAUGCACGAAAGCGUGGGGAGCAAACAGGAUUAGAUACCCUGGUAGUCCACGCCCUAAACGAUGUCAACUAGUUGUUGGGGAUUCAUUUCCUUAGUAACGUAGCUAACGCGUGAAGUUGACCGCCUGGGGAGUACGGUCGCAAGAUUAAAACUCAAAGGAAUUGACGGGGUCAUAGCUGUUUCCU